rnacentral:rRNA from 1 species
GACGAACGCUGGCGGCGUGCUUAACACAUGCAAGUCGAACGGAAAGGCCCUGCUUUUGUGGGGUGCUCGAGUGGCGAACGGGUGAGUAACACGUGAGUAACCUGCCCUUGACUUUGGGAUAACUUCAGGAAACCGGGGCUAAUACCGGAUAGGAGCUCCUGCUGCAUGGUGGGGGUUGGAAAGGUUCGGCGGUUGGGGAUGGACUCGCGGCUUAUCAGCUUGUUGGUGGGGUAGUGGCUUACCAAGGCUUUGACGGGUAGCCGGCCUGAGAGGGUGACCGGCCACAUUGGGACUGAGAUACGGCCCAGACUCCUACGGGAGGCAGCAGUGGGGAAUAUUGCACAAUGGGCGGAAGCCUGAUGCAGCAACGCCGCGUGCGGGAUGACGGCCUUCGGGUUGUAAACCGCUUUCGCCUGUGACGAAGCGUGAGUGACGGUAAUGGGUAAAGAAGCACCGGCUAACUACGUG